rnacentral:misc_RNA from 1 species
AAAAGUAGUUUACACUCCGCUGUCUUCAAGAUUAUCCCAGUUUGUACGUGGGUCACACAAGUUUUGUCACAAUUGAUUCUCAUUUUUCGAAGAUGAUGGGAGAUUUUCAGACCCGAAACCUCCAGCCGAAGAAGAACCCGAUUAGUGAUGAUUAUCGCAUUACGGGGAGUGUAUUGGGUUUGGGUAUCAAUGGGAAAGUUGUGGAAUGUUUCAGCAAGACGACCAAUAGGAAAUGUGCUCUGAAGGUUUUGAGGGACAUCCCCAAAGCACGGCGAGAGGUUGAUCUACACUGGAGAGCCUCAGGAUGUCGACACAUCGUCGCCAUAUUGGAUGUGUACGAGAACGUCUACAGCGGUCAAAAGUGUCUCCUGGUUGUAAUGGAAUGCAUGGAAGGGGGUGAGCUGUUCAACAGAAUUCAGGAGCGAGCAGAUUCUGCGUUCACAGAAAGAGGUAUGUACUAACUGUUCCGAUCACUUACAGGCCUUUGUCAUCAGGAGAUAUAAAUUUUACUGUAUACCAAGGACCAACCUAGGGGGCGACUUGGGAGAAAUAGUCGAUUUUGAUCGGUAACUUCGCCAGAAUUUCCUCUGAAAGAGAAGUUAAAGCCGCCCUGUAUUAUGAGUUCACAAUCGUGUAAAUUAAUCCCAAAGGCAAUAAAAUGAUAAUUAACU